rnacentral:rRNA from 1 species
GAUUUCUGCUAACUGCACUAGUAUACGACUCUGUGUCUGUUGCUAGUCGUUUGUUGGCUUUCUUCAGCCGACUUUCCUCUUUCGGGGGGCGAGUCUGUCUGAAGCUGUUACUUUGAGAAAAUUAGAGUGUUUCAAGCAGGUUUCUGCCUUGAAUACUCCAGCAUGGAAUAACAAGAAUGACUCUGGUCUUUCUUGUUGGUUUAAAGGCUUGAGUAAUGGUUAAGAGGAACAGUCGGGGGCAUUCGUAUUUGCCAGCUAGAGGUGAAAUUCUUAGAUUUGGCAAAGACGAACUACUGCGAAAGCAUUUGCCAAGGAUGUUUUCAUUGAUCAAGAACGAAAGUUAGGGGAUCGAAGACGAUCAGAUACCGUCGUAGUCUUAACCAUAAACUAUGCCGACUAGAGAUUGGAGGCAGCCAUUCCUUACUCCU